rnacentral:rRNA from 1 species
GUCCACGCCGUAACUAUGAGAGCUAGCCGUCGGCAAGUACACUUGUCGGUGGCGCAGCUAACGCAUUAAGCUCUCCGCCUGGGGAGUACGGUCGCAAGAUUAAACUCAAAGGAAUUGACGGGGCCCGCACAAGCGGUGGAGCAUGUGGUUUAAUUCGAAGCAACGCGCAGAACCUUACCAGCCCUUGACAUCCCGGUCGCGGUUUUCCAGAGAUGGAUUCCUUCAGUUCGGCUGGACCGGUGACAGGUGCUGCAUGGCUGUCGU